UGAGGAAUAUUGGUCAAUGGGCGAGAGCCUGAACCAGCCAAGUAGCGUGCAGGAUGACGGCCCUAUGGGUUGUAAACUGCUUUUAUGUGGGGAUAAAGUGCGUGACGUGUCAUGCAUUGCAGGUACCACAUGAAUAAGGACCGGCUAAUUCCGUGCCAGCAGCCGCGGUAAUACGGAAGGUCCGGGCGUUAUCCGGAUUUAUUGGGUUUAAAGGGAGCGUAGGCUGUCUAUUAAGCGUGUUGUGAAAUAUACCGGCUCAACCGGUGGCUUGCAGCGCGAACUGGUCGACUUGAGUAUGCAGGAAGUAGGCGGAAUUCAUGGUGUAGAGGUGAAAUGCUUAGAUAUCAUGACGAACUCCGAUUGCGCAGGCAGCUUACUGUAGCAUAACUGACGCUGAUGCUCGAAAGUGCGGGUAUCAAACAGG
rnacentral:rRNA from 1 species